rnacentral:rRNA from 1 species
CCUGAGAAACCCAAAAGAUCGAAUGGGGAGAUUCAUCGUCAGCUCAUUUUGUAUAUAUUUAAGUUAUGAUGUGGGUUACUACUUUGUAGUAUUGCCUGUACAUUCUUAUAUAUUUUGUUGCAAAAUGUUGUCGGCGUGCACUUCUCCCCUAGUAGGACGUCGCAACCUGUUGGGUGUCGGUCUACGGCCCAAGUGAUAGUCUUUAAUAUUAUAUUAAAGAUCCUUGGUGUUUUCUGACCGGCUACUUGGCAGUAAUCAAAUGGUAUUUAGCCGCUAAAUUUAUUAAGCGUUCAUAUCCGUCACAAGCGAGGCUAAUUUACUGAUAGUACGGACCUAGUGCCGUCGUUGGUAUUGGCCAGCUGUUGGUUGUAUGGUAUUCUAGAACUGGCUAAAAUUAAUUACCGGUUGGCGAUGCUACUGCUUUGGGUACUUUCAG